AUUGAACGCUGGCGGAAUGCUUUACACAUGCAAGUCGAACGGCAGCACGGGGGCAACCCUGGUGGCGAGUGGCGAACGGGUGAGUAAUACAUCGGAACGUGCCCGGUCGUGGGGGAUAACGUAGCGAAAGUUACGCUAAUACCGCAUACGAUCUGAGGAUGAAAGCGGGGGACCUUCGGGCCUCGCGCGAUCGGAGCGGCCGAUGUCAGAUUAGGUAGUUGGUGGGGUAAAGGCCUACCAAGCCGACGAUCUGUAGCUGGUCUGAGAGGACGACCAGCCACACUGGGACUGAGAAACGGCCCAGACUCCUACGGGAGGCAGCAGUGGGGAAUUUUGGACAAUGGGCGCAAGCCUGAUCCAGCCAUUCCGCGUGCAGGACGAAGGCCUUCGGGUUGUAAACUGCUUUUGUAUGGAACGAAAAGGCUCUGGCUAAUACCUGGGGCUCAUGACGGUACCGUAAGAAUAAGCACCGGCUAACUACGUG
rnacentral:rRNA from 1 species